rnacentral:lncRNA from 1 species
GAGAAGAGAAUGUAUUCUCAUUCAUUUCUGUGUGUUUACAAUCUCAUCUCUGUUCUUACAAAGAGAAGGGGAGGGGGCUUAUUUAUAGGUAAGAGGUGGGCUCCACCAUAUAUAUAUUUACAACACUCCCCCUUGGAGACCACAAAUAGUAUGGAAUAUGCCUCGUUAAAAACCUUGCCAGUAAAAAUUCAGUGGGACAAAAACUGGUCAAAGGGAAAAAGAGUACAUAAUCAUGUGUAACAUAAAAUUCUGUGUAUAUUGAUGCGCGUGCGACACUGCCUCGUUAAAACCUUGCCAGGAAAAACCCAGUGGGAUAAAAACCUGGACGAAGGAAAAAGAGUACAGUGUUUGAAGAUCUUUAUUGAUAGCACGCUCCCCCUGAUGCUUGGCAAAAUAUCUUUAAGUCAUACUGUUGUUCACCUUUCUGAAUAUCGUAGUUGACACUGCUUCUGUGAGUCAAUCUUGAGCGACACUGCCUCGUUAAAACCUUACCAGGAAAAAUCCAAUGGGAUAAAAACCUGGAUGAAGGAAAAAAGAGUACAGUGUAUGGAGGUCUUUAUUAAAACCACGCUCCCCUUUGUGAAUAUCUCCCCCUGAAAAAUUUAGGACUAGCUUUUGUCCAGUAAUCGACCAUAAAAAUUUUCAUAGUAUACCCUAAACCCUUGAGCGACAGUGCCUCGUUAAAACCUUACCAGGAAAAACCCAAUGGGAUAAAAACCUGGAUGAAGGAAAAAGAGUACAGUGUGGAGCUGAGCUCUAUCUGGUCUAGUAUACUUCCGGAAAAACAUUUAAGGACCAACGGAUAAGACUCUCUUAGUAUAAGCAAGAAUCUCGUUGGUAUAAUGCUCGAUCGAGACAAAUAUUUCAUGAAUUCUGCAGAAGCUUUAAUGUGUUGCAAUCACAUUAUAAUCAAUGUACUCACUGAGGUAAUUUAUGCAUAUUAAUAUUGAGUACAAAUUUUGUGCUUCAAGCACAUGUCCUUUAGGGACUUGCUUUAUGCAAUGUCAAUCCUCUCAACGGAUUUUGUCUAAAAGGGAUUAAACUUUAUGACACAUUAUAUAGCUUUAACCCAGCUAUUUAUACAUCUUUAGGGAAUCGCUUCUGGCGAUAUGCUCCGUGCAUUUAAUAACCCUUAAAGAUAAUAUGUUGGUCUCCGUAAUUGUGUAAUAAGGGGGAGGGCACAAUUGAAUCUGUAAAUAUGGAGAAAACCCAACAUUCCUUGUUUCUGCUAGAAACAGUGUGUCAUACAAAGUAAGUAUAUUCCCUUUUAUUCCGAACACCCAAGUAUAAAUUCAGUAUUAACAAAUUUUGGGGUUCGUAUUGUGGGUUUGUUCUUUCACGUUCAUUCUCAUUUAUAAUGGAAUUACCUCGUUCCAUUUUAGCCAAUAAUAUUGUCGACAUUUAAUAAUUGAACAUGGUUCCAAUCAACACAGCCCAUUGAUGAAGGGGGGAUGCACAUGGUUAGCGCAAUAAUUGCUUACACUUCCUUUCCAGAUGAUUGCCCAUACCUUGAAUAAACAUACCCCAUGAGAUCGACGAGCAAGUGGAUGCUCAAUUCACGUAGCACCAAGUACUCGAACUGCACGUAGCACGUCUUCCCCAAGUGCAGUGCCUAACUUUCCUCGUCCGUCGGAUAACCAAAGCUCGAGGGUUGCAUGGAGAGCUCUCUGCUUCUCAGCGACCUCUUGACGGCGUCGCUCAUGACUCGGACGAUUCGCUUCAGGUCCUCCGAGCUGCCGACGAAGUCUCUCGGCAGUAGCUGCAACAGCCGCGAGUACUGGCUCAUUGGCCUAGCGAUUUCGAACUGGGCGGCGAAGUCGAGGUCCACGAAGUACCGGCUCUGCCACAUGGGGGAGCUCGAUUGGGCGCAAACCACGUCGAUGAACUCGUAGCUCCCGGUGGUGAUGUUGCUGGAGGAGCUCCAUCGCUUUCGCGUCGGAGACCGAGUCGACUUGGUUCGAGUUAGUCUUGUUGUCCGGAAAUCGAGUCUCGGAUGAGUCUUCCUGGAGGAAAAACGUGGACGAGCUCGGAGAGGCAGUGCGAGUCGCCAUCGCCAGAAUGCUCGCUUCCGCUGCUGACGUCGUAGAUGCUGAGCUCGGAGCUGUAGCCGCCGACGAGGCGUGCCCAGACCUUGUCGUCGAGAGGGUAAGUGACUCUCUUUGUUCUGUUAAUUUCUUUUGAGUUGCCAGAUCCUCAAGGGACAUGAAUACUUAGCAUUCAUGGUGUCACGUCUUCCCGUCCACUCAGAUUAUCAUCCUUCCAUAUAUAUGACCGUUUUAGGUACGGAUAGACAGAUAUAUAUGUAAAGGGCCCCAAAGAUGCUCAGAAGGUAAUGGACUCCACGUCAGAUAUGCAUCUGGUGGGUGAGAAGAGCCCGAGAGCCACAAUCGAAUAUCAACCCCACUCUGCCUCUUUAAACUUGUGGCCAAGGUGUGAGCUUUGAGCUUUGGGAGAGACAGAGAGAGAGCCUUCUGAGUUUGAGUUUGAGAAUGGAAUAUCCCCAAAGUCAGAGGGAUUUUGUGUUAUGAAGUGGAGAGAUGUUUUUGGUUCUGUAGUUGUGGCUGACAGAGAGAGAGAGAGAGCGUUGAAGCGAUCUGGGUUUCAUCAGAGAAUUCAGCUGGUAUUGUUUUAGCGAAUUCGUGCUGAUAACGUGUUAUAAAUCUGGAGAAUUUGGAGAGAAUUGAGAGAGAGAGAGAAGGGAAUGUAUUCUCAUUCAUUUCUGUGUGUUUACAAUCUCAUCUCUGUUCUUACAAAGAGAAGGGGAGGGGGCUUAUUUAUAGGUAAGAAGUGGGCUCCACCAUAUAUAUAUUUACAACAAUAUCCAAGUUAAUAAAGGGCAGUCCAUUAAGCCCAAACAACCCAGCGAAAAACACAAAACAAAAUAAUUGCUUUCCUUUAUCAAAAAUAAAAAAUAAAAAAUAAUAAUUGCUUCCAACCAGGCAAAUAAGCCAAACAGACAUUAAAAAAAGGCUAAGCCUAAAAGUGCGAGAGAACCAGAGAUAUCAGCCCACCUUUAAAAAAUUUCCUAGGUACGUCAUGGGCUGAGAUUUUAGGAAGGAAUUAAAAAAAUAGAACUCUAAUCACGGUCC